UGUCCGAGAACGGUUGCUCGACUUCUUCAUGAAUGAGGUGAUAGACAUUAGUGGAUCAUGCAGGGUUGAGGGUGCUUCAUAUAACUAAAUCUAGCAUGGCUUCCUAGGUAAGAUGUUACAUUCAUAUAACCUUUUACAUCAUAUGCCACAUUGUGAGGUGUUCAUCUGUGUCUAACUAAUAAUUAUUGUGUUCUCCUAUUUGUUGUACAGGAAAAGAUGGAAUGGCCACACCAGUGUCGAGACUUGAUUUCAUAUAUAUUUAGUUAGGCACAACGAUAGCGCAAACAGUUGAUUACCAAAUUUGUCAAUUAGUAUUUUAGUUUGGAUAUAGAGUAUGCUUAUGCAUGAGCUAUUUCACAAUGUUUAUUUAUGAGAUAUAUAAUGGUAAUUUAGAAUGAUAUCAUCCUACUUUCAUAUAUUUGAUGGACAUCACAUAUGCAUCUAGAUUUUUCUCCAAGUUUUAGCAUGUAGUACAUAGG
rnacentral:lncRNA from 1 species